rnacentral:tRNA from 1 species
GGGGAUUUAGCUCAGUGGUAGAGCGCUUGCCUAGCAAGCGUAAGGUCCUGGGUUUGGUCCCCAGCUCCG